GCGACGAUCAGUAGCUGGUCUGAGAGGAUGAUCAGCCACACUGGGACUGAGACACGGCCCAGACUCCUACGGGAGGCAGCAGUGGGGAAUAUUGGACAAUGGGCGCAAGCCUGAUCCAGCCAUGCCGCGUGAGUGAUGAAGGCCCUAGGGUUGUAAAGCUCUUUCACCCACGACGAUAAUGACGGUAGUGGGAGAAGAAGCCCCGGCUAACUUCGUGCCAGCAGCCGCGGUAAUACGAAGGGGGCUAGCGUUGCUCGGAAUCACUGGGCGUAAAGGGCGCGUAGGCGGCCGAUCAAGUCAGGGGUGAAAGCCUG
rnacentral:rRNA from 1 species